rnacentral:ncRNA from 1 species
UAGAAAUCAUUUUACAUCAAAUUAAAAGGGAAUCUGGUUAAAAUCCAGAACUGUUCCCGCAACUGUAAGUUUAUGCUGAUUUUUUCAGUAACUCAUAAGAGGAAGUUAUUAAUUCUUUAACCACUGACAAUUAUUGUUGGGAAGGUAUAAUAACAUAAAAACAAGUCAGGAGACCUGCCUAAAAUCAAA